rnacentral:other from 1 species
GCUCCCCUGUGUUAUUCGUGAUAAGUGAACAUUUUUUUGAGCCAACACCUUUUAACUUAUAGAUAGCCGCUUAAUGCCGGUGUGUACUGCCCUUUGGGGAUAGUCCUUAUGGCUUGACGACUGUCAAUAUUAAGAUUUAAGGUUCAAAGAAAGCACCUACACGGUAAUUUGGGGGGGAC